rnacentral:misc_RNA from 1 species
AACGCAUCUUGCGCUCCUUGGUAUUCCGAGGAGCAUGCCUGUUGGAGUGUCAUGAAUACUCUCAAUGAAUAAUUUGUUUUCAUUGGACUUGGAUGCUGCUGUUGUGGCUCGUCUGAAUUGGAUUGACUGGGUUCGCGCCUUACUGGUGUAAUAAAUUAUUCACUAGGUUAAGGUGAACUCUUUUACUAUAUUAUAUUGUUAGACCUCCAAUCAGGUAGGACUACCCGCUGAACUUAA